UCCAGGGUAGCCUAGUGGACAUGGCAUAUGCCCGGUAAGCGGAAUAUUGUGGGUUCGAUUCCCAUCCGUUAUAAUAAGCCGGAU
rnacentral:tRNA from 1 species